rnacentral:rRNA from 1 species
AGCAGCCGCGGUAAUUCCAGCUCCAAUAGCGUAUAUUAAAGUUGUUGCAGUUAAAAAGCUCGUAGUUGAAUUUCGGGAUCAGUAGGUCGGUCGUGCCACUGGUAUGAACUGGUCUCACUGGUUCCUCCCUCUUGACGAACUGCAAUGCUAUUAAUUUAGUGUAGUAGGAAAUCAGGACUGUUACUUUGAAAAAAUUAGAGUGUUUAAAGCAGGCUUUGGCUUGAAUACAUUAGCAUGGAAUAAUGAAAUAGGACGUUCGAUCCUACUUUGUUGGCUUCUAGGAUUGACGUAAUGAUUAAUAGGGACAGUUGGGGGCAUUAGUAUUCAAUUGUCAGAGGUGAAAUUCUUGGAUUUAUUGAAGACUAACUACUGCGAAAGCAUUUGCCAAGGAUGUUUUCAUUAAUCAAGAACGAAAGUUAGGGGAUCGAAGACGAUCAGAUACCGUCGUAGUCUUAACCAUAAACUAUGCCGACUAGGGAUCGGAUGGUGUUAAUUCUUUAAUGACUCAUUCGGCGUCC